GGAGUUAGGACACUAACAUAUCCUUUUUGGGGGACACAAUUCAAACCACAACGCUCACCAACCUAUUUCCUCUUCAUGGUCACCUUGAAGGCAAGAUUCUCUGAUCCCCCUUGAAGUUAGAUAAGGCCGUCUGCCUGGUUCUGGCCACAUGAAUGUGGGAGGAAGUGAUGUAUAUCGUUACUAAGCCUGGUCAUAAAGCUUCCUGUGUGAUACUAUUCACUUUUGCUCUUUGCUCAUUGGCUCUCUGAAUGUAGAGGACACAGAGGAGGCCCUAGAAGAUGUCAACAGCACAAGUGGAGAAGCCAGAUCCCAAAUCACCAGGGAAGGCCAGCUGGCAAAACUUGUUUGGACUAUGAUAUUUAGAAGAAACAGAGGAAACUCUGACAACAGCCCUUGAAGUAUCUUACAGAAAUAAUUUUCCAUAUAUGAAAAGUUUUAAAAUGAAAUGCUUAUGUUUGUGAUCUUAAAGUACGCUAGUAUAGAAAAUCUUUCUAAUUCCACUAAAAGUUUGAAAGCAAAAUGUUUUUAAAUUUCUUUCCAAACUAUAUUAGUGUAUUUAAUUGAAAUAAUUUCAAUUUUUUAGGGAACAAAUCAUAGUUGAGAAAAUAAAACCUAUUUCUCAUCAUUUUUAUAUUCUUUU
rnacentral:lncRNA from 1 species